rnacentral:rRNA from 1 species
UACGUAGGGCGCAAGCGUUAUCCGGAAUUAUUGGGCGUAAAGAGCUCGUAGGCGGUUUGUCGCGUCUGCCGUGAAAGUCCGGGGCUCAACUCCGGAUCUGCGGUGGGUACGGGCAGACUAGAGUGAUGUAGGGGAGACUGGAAUUCCUGGUGUAGCGGUGAAAUGCGCAGAUAUCAGGAGGAACACCGAUGGCGAAGGCGGGUCUCUGGGCCGAUAUUGACGCUGAGGAGCGAAAGCCAGGGGAGCAAACGGG